UAGGUUCUAACAUGAAUUAGAUUAAUAGGGAAAGAGGUGAAAUUCCUCUACAGCCCCCGCUACUGUAAGGUGGACGAAACUUUUAAAAACCACUGUGGUAUUAGUUACUAUGGGAAGGAGAAGGAGUAGAAUGAAGCUAAGUCAGGAGACCUGCCUAUGAUAUUUU
rnacentral:ncRNA from 1 species